UAGCCCACCCUCUGGCCAUAGGGCAGCAGCCAGGGAAGCAUCCCACCCAGAGCACAGGCCCCUUAGACCCCCUGAGCCAGUCCGGAAGCUCCCACCACUUCAUGUGAAAUACAUCAGAAGAUGUGGGUGUUGGGGCCAGGAGGGCUUCCUGGAGAGUUCAGAGACCAGAGCCCCCAAGGGACCUUGGGUGAUGCAGGGAGGGCUUCCUGAAGGAAGGGUUUUUAAGGGCCCCUUCAUGGAUGAGUAGAAGGUGGUGAGGCAGAGAAGGAGAAGGGCUUUCAAGAGGAGGAAGCAACAAGGAGCCAAGUGGUAGGGCUGGACCCUGUGUGUGGCCGUGUGGCUGGGAAGAAGUCAGGGACCUCACCUAGGGCUUUAUGGGCAGGGGCCCUCCUGGUGGUAAGCCAAGUGGUUUUCUGGGCAUUUGGGGAGCGCUGCAGCAGAAAGCAAGAGAUUCAUUCUGGUUUUGUCCCUGUGGGUCCUUCUGAGGACAAGGAGAGGGCAUCUGUGGUACCUGAGUGUCACAGCACCUCUUCAGCACUUGCUAAUCUCCCUCUUUAACUAAGAAUCCCCACCUGGGCAGCACCCUCCCCUGGAUGAGAAAAGCACCAGGGUAGCUGGGCAGGGCAAAGGAGGAGUGAUCCACAAGUGCCUAUCACAGGGCAGGGCUCAGUGGGCACUAGAGCCAGCAGCCCUGCAGCCGGGAUGAUCCUCUUGUCCUCUGGCCCCAAGCAAGGAGGAAACGGUGGAAACUCCAGGAUGGAUUUCGGCUUUGUGGAAGGGGCCUGAUUGGGCUCCACAGUGGGAUGGAGCCUAUGGUGUUUAGAGCAGUCUCUGGAGGCAGUGAGCUUCCUGUCACUGGAGGCAUUCAAGCAGCAGUUGACUCUUCAGAGGUUAGACUGCUGGGAGGCAGUUAAUAAUUGGAAGGAGGAGGGGGUGGGCUGGGAGCUCUGUGGCUCUGGUCUCUGAACUCUCAGAGUGUAAAGAAAACCUGUGAGCAGCGACAGGACAACGGCAGGGUGGCUGAGGGCUUGGGGUCUCAGCAUGUUCUGAGUGGAGUCUGCACCCAUCUCCUGUGCUCCCUCCUGGGGAUAAUCAGCCCCUUUCCAAGGUGGACAGGUGUGUGUUCCAAACUCUCUGCCCACACGGUGCUGUGUGCCCAUGCUUACACACAACACCUCCUUUCCUCCCCCUCCCACCCUGUGAGGCAGGACUGCUGCCCCUGUUCUACAGAUGAGGAAACGGGUGAAGUGACUUGCCAAAGCCAUCCAAAUCAAACAGCAGAGGGAGAACUGGAACCAAUGUCUGCCCAACCCCAGGGACCCCUGCAGGCUCCAUAAGGACAGGGCUGAGGAGUCCGGAGACACCGGCCUCCCCUCCCACCUGCAGCUCCUCUCUGGAAGUUUUGUCCUCCUGGGGCCUGGGGCACAGGAGGCGCUAUCUCUGCCUUGGCGCCGAGUGUCCAGACGCAACGUACAAGAUGAUUGAUUUCUUAAAGAUACGCGAGCCUUUCUGAUACUUCAUUUAUUGUCUAAAUAUUUUUGCUAACGUUUCAGUGGGCCCCUUAUCGAGCUCAGCUGAUGGGUCCCAGUUCUCUCCCCCAAGCACCUCCUGCCCCAAUCAUCCUAUCAGCCGCCUGGCGGUAUUCACUCUUUCAAGAGGGGGGAGGGGGAGGGCCGCCGAAGGGGUGUAUUGGCCCUUUCCUGCUGGGGGCGCAGGCUGGAGAGGGGAUAAGGUGGCCGGACUCUGGGAGCGGGAGCUUUAGGAAGGACACAGAGGGCACAGAGCCUGGCGGGGGAUUAAAAGUUGGUUCUGGCACCAACCUGCUGUGUUAACUCAGGCAGGUCCUUCCCUGAUCCAGCAGCAGUUUCCACUGUUGAAAACGAGGGCUUGGAGGCCCAGCCAGCUCUAAAAUUUGCAGUCAGUACAAGAGAAAUGUUCAGGAUGGAUGGUGGAUGGAUGGGUGGAUGAGUGGAUGGUGGAUGGAUGGGUAGAUAAAUGCAUGACAGAUAGAUGGAUGGGUGGAUAAAUGAAUGAAUGAAUGGGCAAAUGAAUGAACAAACUUUCACCCCCAGCUUGGUCCACACUUGCUUGGCCCAUCUGUGUCCAGGGCUCACCCACUUUAGCCAUAAGACCAUCACAACAUCAGUGAGGGACCCCAUGGUGGCCAAGCAGGGCAACAGGUUCACUGGGGAAAGACCCUGCCUGAGAGGUUGAAGUGGGACCCCCUGGGCCCUGACCUACCAUGUGGCCCCAGGUGUCUUUGCCCCGGAUCAGUGUAGAGGGUGGGCCUCCUUGGUCCUUCACCUAGAGAUGGAGGUGGAGGUGGGGCUGGGGCCCUUGGCUCUGAGCAGCUUUCCAUGCAGGAAGCCUCGAAGGCUGGCAUCAGGGGUCACUGCCAUGGCAGAGCCAAACCUCACGACAGAGCAAGCUCUGGCCAGAAGCCUGGGGGGGGGGGGGGGGCGGCGCUGAGGCAGGGUGCCUGGGUACACGCCUGGUGAUGCCCCUCGCUCCCUCUUUGAUUCUCAUUUACAUUUGUUUGUAAUAGGGAAGAAUGCCCCCUGCCCAUCUCUGCACUGCUUUCCCCUGACGUCUGGGACACCCAACCUGGGUGUGGGGGGCUGUGAGCUCUUUACCCUGGUCGGGAGGCACUGCAAGCUGCCCUGCAUCCUGCUUAGUGCACCUGCUGAAACAUUUCCCAGCAUUCCACGUCAGGGCGGCUUCUUCCCCUCGCGCCAGGUGCUGCUGGCUGCAGCUGUCCAGCCUCCAUGUUCCCACCUGGACAUGUUGUGACACACCCUGACAGCAGGCGGUUCCGACCCACUAAGAUCUGGGCACAGCAAGGCAGCACCGGAGCUGGCCUGCCAGCUAUGCCUGCCCACGUCCCUGCCCCACCACUGCCUCCUUACUUGCCAGCCCGUGGGCCUGUCCAUGCCCCUGCUGCUCCCGGGGACCUCUUCCAGCCAUCGCAACCCAUUGUCCUCUGCUCAGUAUACCCAGCAGCCCAUGGGACCUCACAGGAAAUGCCCUGUGGCUCUGCUGCUCCCUUCCCCUUCCCACAUUACUGAGGGGUAGCCUGGCCCAGACCUGGGGUGCCAACAGGUCACUAGGACCAUGAUGGUCAGGCCCUGGACGAGAGCUUUACCCUGGCACUGUUAACUCACCUUGGCCAUGAGGCGGUUCAGAGAGGACCCCAGAAUGUAAGAGUUUCCCAUGGCUGCUGUAACAAAGUGCCACAACCUGGUGUCUUAAGCGAAUUAUAGUCUCUCCUAGUUCUGAGGCCAGGGGGUGGCAGGGCUGGUUUCUUCUGGGUCUCGGAGGAAGGAUGCAUUCCAGGCCUCUCCUCAGCUUCUGGUGGCUGCUGGUGGUCCUUGGGGUUCCUUGGCUCGGAGAUGUAUCAGUCCCACCUCUGCCUCUUCUCUCCCUGUCAUUGGAUUUGAGACCCACAUGGAUAAUUCAGGAUGAUUUCACCUGGCUUUCCUUAAUUUAGUCACAUCUGCCAAGACCCUUUUUCCUAACAAGGUCACAUUUGGGCUCUGGGUGGACAUAUCUUUGGGGGCCACAUCCAGCCGGCUCCACAGAGCCAGCUGUCAGCAGAGCGAGGGCCCAGCCAGGUUGGCCCCUGGUUCUGCAUAGGACAGCCCCGAGGGGAUGCUCAGGUCUGGGCUUGGCUGGAACACCGGGGUAGGGAAGAGGGCAUUGUGGGGUGUCCUGGAGACAAGCUCCAGACAGGAGACCUGCUGUUGGCUUUCCUAGGUCCCUGGCACCCUUCCUCUCCAUGCCUCAGCUUCCCUACCUGCAGCUGUGGGAGCUGGGAAAGUGCCACAGGGUAUGGGAGGUGCUGUUGGCAAGAAGGGGCUCCAGCUACAGAGUCAACCCAGACUGGCCUCCAGGGGAUCCAGGAGGAGGACUCAGCCGGUGACAAAGACCCGGGACCCCUCCCACCACACCAGAACGACUAUUGUCCCCUCCCCUAUUGUCUGCCUCCUCCAAGUCCCAUUCCCACAGAUGCCCACACAGUGCCCCUCCUCACCCCUCCAGGCCUCACCCCACCGUCCUGGCUACAGCUGCCCGUACCCAGCCCCUGCCCACCAGGCCGCAGCCCUUCUCAGCCUUGUCCUGUUUCUCCAGCACUUUCUCUUCCAGCCUCCACAGCUUCUUUCUUGGUGGGCUUCCCACUCCAGCAUCCUGCCGAGACAUCAGGGACUGCAUGUUCUGUUCAUGGUGUCCCUGCACCUGGCACAAAGCAUGCCCUCAUUCAUUCGGGACUAUUUGCCGAAGAAUGAAUGAAUGAAUGAAUGAAUGAAUGAAUGAAUGAAUGAAUGAAAGAAA